GCCGUUGGAGUCAAGGAUGGAGCCCGACUCCCGUAGGAGUCCGGGCGGAGUCUUCCUGCGGUCGAAGUCGUGGGCAGAGUCUGGCUCCCAUAGGAGUCCGGACGAAGUCUGUCUGCAGCCGUUGGAGUUGAGGAUGGAGCCCGGCUCCCGUAGGAGUCCGGGCGGAGUCUUCCUGCAAUUAAAGUCAAAGGUGAAGUCCGGCUCCC
rnacentral:lncRNA from 1 species